GGUAUCAGAAGUGCGAAUGCUGACAUAAGUAACGAUAAAGCGGGUGAAAAGCCCGCUCGCCGGAAGACCAAGGGUUCCUGUCCAACGUUAAUCGGGGCAGGGUGAGUCGACCCCUAAGGCGAGGCCGAAAGGCGUAGUCGAUGGGAAACGGGUUAAUAUUCCCGUACUUGGUGUUACUGCGAAGGGGGGACGGAGAAGGCUAUGUUGGCCGGGCGACGGUUGUCCCGGUUUAAGCGUGUAGGUGUGUGUUCCAGGUAAAUCCGGUUCACUUUAACACUGAGGCGUGAUGACGAGGCACUACGGUGCUGAAGCAACAAAUGCCCUGCUUCCAGGAAAAGCCUCUAAGCAUCAGGUAACAUCAAAUCGUACCCCAAACCGACACAGGUGGUCAGGUAGAGAAUACCAAGGCGCUUGAGAGAACUCGGGUGAAGGAACUAGGCAAAAUGGUGCCGUAACUUCGGGAGAAGGCACGCUGACACGUAGGUGAAGUGAUUUACUCACGGAGCUGAAGUCAGUCGAAGAUACCAGCUGGCUGCAACUGUUUAUUAAAAACACAGCACUGUGCAAACACGAAAGUGGACGUAUACGGUGUGACGCCUGCCCGGUGCCGGAAGGUUAAUUGAUGGGGUCAGCGCAAGCGAAGCUCCUGAUCGAAGCCCCGGUAAACGGCGGCCGUAACUAUAACGGUCCUAAGGUAGCGAAAUUCCUUGUCGGGUAAGUUCCGACCUGCACGAAUGGCGUAAUGAUGGCCAGGCUGUCUCCACCCGAGACUCAGUGAAAUUGAACUCGCUGUGAAGAUGCAGUGUACCCGCGGCAAGACGGAAAGACCCCGUGAACCUUUACUAUAGCUUGACACUGAACAUUGAGCCUUGAUGUGUAGGAUAGGUGGGAGGCUUUGAAGCGUGGACGCCAGUCUGCAUGGAGCCAACCUUGAAAUACCACCCUUUAAUGUUUGAUGUUCUAACGUGGACCCGUUACCCGGGUUGCGGACAGUGUCUGGUGGGUAGUUUGACUGGGGCGGUCUCCUCCUAAAGAGUAACGGAGGAGCACGAAGGUUGGCUAAUCCUGGUCGGACAUCAGGAGGUUAGUGCAAUGGCAUAAGCCAGCUUGACUGCGAGCGUGACGGCGCGAGCAGGUGCGAAAGCAGGUCAUAGUGAUCCGGUGGUUCUGAAUGGAAGGGCCAUCGCUCAACGGAUAAAAGGUACUCCGGGGAUAACAGGCUGAUACCGCCCAAGAGUUCAUAUCGACGGCGGUGUUUGGCACCUCGAUGUCGGCUCAUCACAUCCUGGGGCUGAAGUAGGUCCCAAGGGUAUGGCUGUUCGCCAUUUAAAGUGGUACGCGAGCUGGGUUUAGAACGUCGUGAGACAGUUCGGUCCCUAUCUGCCGUGGGCGCUGGAGAACUGAGGGGGGCUGCUCCUAGUACGAGAGGACCGGAGUGGACGCAUCACUGGUGUUCGGGUUGUCAUGCCAAUGGCACUGCCCGGUAGCUAAAUGCGGAAGAGAUAAGUGCUGAAAGCAUCUAAGCACGAAACUUGCCCCGAGAUGAGUUCU
rnacentral:rRNA from 1 species